GACGAACGCUGGCGGCGUGCUUAACACAUGCAAGUCGAACGGAGAAUUUAUUUCGGUAAAUUCUUAGUGGCGAACGGGUGAGUAACGCGUGGGCAACCUGCCCUUCAGAUGGGGACAACAUCCCGAAAGGGGUGCUAAUACCGAAUACGAUCACGCUGCCGCAUGGCGGUGUGAUGAAAGAUGGCCUCUAUUUAUAAGCUAUCGCUGAAGGAUGGGCCUGCGUCUGAUUAGCUAGUUGGUGGGGUAACGGCCUACCAAGGCGAUGAUCAGUAGCCGGUCUGAGAGGAUGAACGGCCACAUUGGGACUGAGACACGGCCCAAACUCCUACGGGAGGCAGCAGUGGGGAAUAUUCCGCAAUGGACGAAAGUCUGACGGAGCAACGCCGCGUGAGUGAUGAAGGUUUUCGGACUGUAAAACUCUGUUGUUUAGGACGAAAGUGCCUGUUGCAAAUAGUUGCAGGUAUUGACGGUACUGAACGAGGAAGCCACGGCUAACUACGUGCCAGCCGCCGCGGUAAGAC
rnacentral:rRNA from 1 species